AGCUCCAAUAGCGUAUAUUAAAGUUGUUGCAGUUAAAAAGCUCGUAGUUGGAUUUCUGUUUCGAACGUCCGGUCCGAUACUUUGUAUUGUGUACUAGGAUGUUUGGGGCAUUUUUUGCGAGGAUGUUUUUCUGCCAUUAAGUUGGUGGUUGAAUAGACUUGCAUCGUUUACUGUGAAAAAAUUAGAGUGUUUAAAGCAGGCGUUUGCUCAUUGAAUACAUUAGCAUGGAAUAAUAAGAUACGACUUUGGUGGUAUUUUGUUGGUUUGCACACCAGAGUAAUGAUUAAUAGGGACAGUUGGGGGUAUUCAUAUUUCAGCGUCAGAGGUGAAAUUCUUGGAUCGCUGAAAGAUGAGCUUAGGCGAAAGCAUUUACCAAGGAUGUUUUCAUUAAUCAAGAACG
rnacentral:rRNA from 1 species